rnacentral:rRNA from 1 species
GGUGGAGUGAUUUGUCUGGUUUAUUCCGAUAACGAGCGAGACUCUAACCUACUAAAUAGUGACGGGAUAAUUUCGUCUUAGUUACUUCUUAGAGGGAUUAGUGGUGCUUAGCCACACUAGAUUGAGCGAUAACAGGUCUGUGAUGCCCUUAGAUGUCCGGGGCUGCACGCGUGCUACACUGGAAGAAUCAGCGUGUUUUUCCAUUGCCGAAAGGUAUUGGUAAACCGUUGAAACUCUUUCGUGUCCGGGAUAGGGAUCGGAAAUUGCAAUUAUUUUCCGUGAACGAGGAAUUCCAAGUAAGUGCGAGUCAUCAGCUCGCGUUGAAUACGUCCCUGCCCUUUGUAC